rnacentral:rRNA from 1 species
GUCUGCAGCCAUGCUACCCUGAACAAGCCCGAUCUCAUCUGAUCUCAGAAGCUAAGCAGGGUCAGGCCUGGUUAGGACUUGGAUGGGGAGACCACCUAGGAAGACUAGGUGCUGUAGUCG